GAAUGGAAAAAUUAGGCUUGGAAUAUAAAUGAUACAAUUAGUUUCUCGACUGGCAACUUUCAUGUCUAACUGGGAAAACUCACGAGAUGUACCUAAAAGUGACUUUAAUUAGACCAAAUUUCAUUCCAGUUUGUUGAGUUAUUCAUGACAUUCUGAAUUGAUGAAUCAAGAGUGAUUCUUGAGAUUUUUGGGUGAAAAAUUUGACAUUUCUAUUGUAAAAUCUUAAGUUUUUAGUGUCAAGAUAUGUCAAAAUAGACAAAAGAGCGAAAACAAAUUAAAAUUAUGUUCAAAGGGUUUUGUUAUUUUUUAAAAUUAAAUGUUUUCCAGUGAAAUUAGCUCUUGGGAAAUGUAUUUCAUGGUUUUAUUCAAGGAUUUUACAUGGGAUUGAUACAAUAUUUGCUUCUUUCGCGGUUGACUUUUAAUUUCAUCUGAAUUUAAGGAUAAUUUUGGAUUUCCCUCGUUUUAAAAAGACAAUUAAAUCUCUUGCUUUUUGACGAUUGAUAAUUUUUUACGUAAGAUGGCGAUAUUAGCAAAAAAGCUAAAUUACGCGCAAUUAUUUACCGGUAACAGUUAACGUGAUUUGAUCAAGCUGGUUUUAUUCAAUUUAUAUGUUAAAUUUGUCUUAAUUUUGUCUCUGUAUUAGUCUUUAAUAUGUUUCUAAUUAUGUUACCUGUGUCUAAAUGUGUCUAAAUGUAUUUAAUUUGAAUGAAAUUACUGCCAGCGAAUCUACAGUCUAUGGGUAAGUCAAGGGGUUGUCUGGAUGACAUUCAUUUUGCUCUCGGCAGUGAGUUUCUUCAUAUUUGGAUGGAGUCCUAUUUCAAUCAAAGUCAAUCGAUAAACCAAAAGUCAAUGGGUAAAAAUUUAUUAUUGAACAGACGACUUUCCAUUUGCCUCCAAGAGAAAGUCUGAACUGGAAAAUUCCUCUCAUCAUCACAAAUUAAUCAAAUUAUGGACAAUCGGUGACCGGUUAAUAAUUGCCAUUUAAUCCAAUCAAGUCAACGAUGAAAGUUUUCUAUCAGUUUGUUGGGAAAAGGAGUUACAAGUAAAGUUAAUUUCGAUGGUAAACUUGAAAAACGGAGGGAAACAGAAGACUAACAAGACAUGAAACUUAAUCAAGAGCAAUAACUCUAAUUUCGUGUCUUACAAUAACUUCAAUCCUAUUAUUUAUACUUUUGAUUUUUCUACCUUCGCUUCACACCAACGUUUCCAUCAGCAUCAUCAUCAUGUUCUCAUGAGAUUCAACCCACAAACCCUGUUUUUUUUGGAAACUUAUCUUCUGAGAUAUAUAAAAAUUAUACUUUUCACCAUUGAUUAACUCUCUUCUUUCCAAUCUCUUUUUACAGUUAAAUAGAGUAAGUGAUCAUCAACUAAAUUGGAGCUCAAGGAAAAGAGAGAAGCAAGAUGUGACAAAAGCCAGGCUGGACAUGAUCUCAAUCCACAAUGAUUUGGUGACUCUGCUCAUUGUAAUCUAUCUGCUUGCAAUGUCAAUCAAUUGAUAAUCCUGAAACUGAAAGGCUUAAAGAUUUUCAUAACCUAAAGGAACAUUAAUUUAAUGAUUAUACAGAAGACACAAUCAUCAUUAGCAGAAGCAGAAGCAAAACAUGUAACAAGGCAAAACAAGACAUUAAGUUAACAACAAUCUGUAUCAUUUUAACAAGUUUACCAAUUUGUGUGCCUACAAAAUAUCAAAUUUCAAUCCAUUAUCACUCUCAAGCGACAACAUUCAUAAUGAUGAUAUCAUUAUACAUCCAAUAAGCAGAUUUCCUGAUUUCACGAAAGGGUGGAAAGGCAGAGAAGAAAAAAAAUCAAAUAUAGUUCAAGUUACUCUCAAUUCAUCAUUCUCUUUCUUCAUCAGUAUCAUCAUCAUGUUUUUCAAUAUAGAUUAUGAUUUACUAUUAACGAAACUAAAUCACAGGAAUGAAACAAACAAGGCAACCUCAAUGUUCACAAUUUAGAAGCUUCACCAGCAGUUGAUAAAUCAGUCUGAUGAUCAAAAUGAAAUGAAUCUUGAAAAUGACUUAUUCAUCAAAAUUACGAGAAACGAAGAAACCAGUUGAUAAAGAAAAAAGAAGAAUCAAAAUGAAUGAGAAAUUUUGGUAAUCUGAGAGUCAACUAACCAUGGUAUAUAAAUGGUAUCUUCAUUGGAAGAAGGAGGAGUAAUCAAUGGAAGACAAUAAACAAUAAUCAAAGUGAAUCAAGGAGGAGUUGAAAUUGGAGACAUUAUUUUACAUUUACAGCAUUUCAUCUUUACUCUCAGUUUGCCCUGUUUUCCGUCAACUGGUUCAAGCUUAUGUUUAUUUCAUCCUUAUAAUGUUGCCGGUGUUUGGGUUAAACUCACUAAACGCCUGUAAACCUUUGCCUUGGUUGUCAGCAAACCUGUCAUUUGUAUCUUUACCCACAGGUUUCCUGGUAAUCAUGGUGAACCAGAAAAGCCAUUACCAAUUCAAUGGAUGACAGUUUAUAUCAAAAUUUACUUUUGGCCAGUCCAAUGUUUUCAUUUGGUUAACAUGAUGGAAAAGCUUGAGGCUAUUUACUGUCAACUUGUCAUUUCAUUUAAUACUCUUUAGGCUGAAAUAAACAUUGAAGCUCAGUCACCAUUGAUGAUCAUCUUUCAUGGAACCAUUUUUGUUAUCCUUUCAGUUUCACACAUUUAUCCUGAUCAUCAUGAAAAAUGAUGAAAAGGGCAAAACUGGAUAACCUAAAGACCAUGGAAGGAUUGAUAGUGAAGAAAAAAUUGUCAACAAUUUACUGAUUUCAAUAACAUUCCAGAAUAUUUUUCAUCUCUUUUAACCCUAAUUUUCACUGUUUAUCAAAUUAUUGAUCCACUUUUUUUUCUCAUUUCAUCGACUUCUUUUGAUAAUCAAUUGAUACACAGAUUUGAAUCGGAAGUGGGAUUCAGUGGAAAUGGGAUUUGCUAUGGGAAACCAGAUGAAAUGUGUAGGUUGAUCAAUGAAUUCACCAAUUUUCAUAGUUUAUCUUUUUCUUGAUACUUUGUCCAAUUGAUGGAUGAAAACAAAAACUGAGCCAUAAGGGUGAUGAUAAAGAGCAUUUCAUAUUUCAAUUGUUCAUGUUGCUAUUUUUUUGUGUAACAAGUAUUUUCAUGAGUAAAUAAUGGUUGACCUUUUCCAAUGUUUACUUCACCCAAAAAUAACAACAGUUGAUGAGACAAUCCAUUGUUGCUAUUGUAACCUGAAGAUGAUAUUAUUUCAGUAAAUAAGAUUAAAGGGCAACAAUAAUCAUU